rnacentral:rRNA from 1 species
GAUCAUGGCUCAGGAUGAACGCUGGCGGCGUGCCUAAUACAUGCAAGUAGAACGCUGAAGGAGGAGCUUGCUCUUCUGGAUGAGUUGCGAACGGGUGAGUAACGCGUAGGUAACCUGCCUGGUAGCGGGGGAUAACUACUGGAAACGAUAGCUAAUACCGCAUGACAACAGUUAUUGCAUGAUAACUGUUUAAAAGGGGCAACUGCUCCACUACCAGAUGGAUCUGCGUUG